AGAUCGUCGGAAAUCUCUUUUCUUUCAAAUACGGACAAAAAGUUCUGCCUUUUAGGUUUC
rnacentral:tRNA from 1 species